GGAUGAACGCUAGCGAUAGGCUUAACACAUGCAAGUCGAGGGGCAGCGGGAUGUAGCGAUACAUUGCCGGCGACCGGCGCACGGGUGCGUAACGCGUAUGCAACCUGCCCAAUUUCGGAGGAUAACCCGUUGAAAGACGGACUAAAACUCCAUACCACCGUAAUGUCACCUGGGAUUAUGGUAAAACGAGAAGGAAAUUGGAUGGGCAUGCGUUCCAUUAGAUAGUUGGUGGGGUAACGGCCCACCAAGUCGACGAUGGAUAGGGGAACUGAGAGGUUUAUCCCCCACACUGGUACUGAGACACGGACCAGACUCCUACGGGAGGCAGCAGUGAGGAAUAUUGGUCAAUGGACGGAAGUCUGAACCAGCCAAAUCGCGUGAAGGAUGGCGGCCCUAUGGGUUGUAAACUUCUUUAGCAGGGGAUUAAAGGCGGGUAUGUAUGCCCGUUUGCAGGUACCCUGAGAAUAAGCAUCGGCUAACUCCGUGCCAGCAGCCGCGGUAAUACGGAGGAUGCGAGCGUUAUCCGGAUUUAUUGGGUUUAAAGGGUGCGUAGGCUGGUUGUUAAGUCAGCGGUGAAAUUUCGGGGCUCAACCCCGGCAGUGCCGUUGAAACUGGGAGCCUUGAGUACAGAGCAAGUAAGCGGAAUUUGUGGUGUAGCGGUGAAAUGCAUAGAUAUCACGAGGAAUGCCGAUUGCGCAAGCAGCUUACUGUCUUGUCACUGACGCUAAAGCACGAAAGCGUGGGUAUCGAACAGGAUUAGAUACCCUGGUAGUCCACGCCGUAAACUAUGAUUACUAGCUGUUUGCGAUAUAUUGUAAGCGGCACAGCGAAAGCGUUAAGUAAUCCACCUGGGGAGUACGCCGGCAACGGUGAAACUCAAAGGAAUUGACGGGGGCCCGCACAAGCGGAGGAACGUGUGGUUUAAUUCGAUGAUACACGAAGAACCUUACCAGGGUUUGACAUACAGGUGGUAGAGAAGCGAAAGUGGAACGACCCUUCGGGGAGCCUGAACAGGUGCUGCAUGGCUGUCGUCAGCUCGUGUCGUGAGAUGUUCGGUUAAGUCCGCUAACGAGCGCAACCCUUGUUGUGUGUUACACGUAUCACACGAGACCGCCGGUAGAAAGCCGGAGGAAGGUAGGGAUGACGUCAAGUCAGCAUGGCCUAUAUAUCCUGGGCUACACACACGCUACAAUGAUCGAUACAAUGGGUAGCCAAGCCGCGAGGCGGAGCCAAUCCUAAAAAGUCGGUCUCAGUUCAGAUUGCAGGCUGCAACUCGCCUGCAUGAAGAUGGAGUUGCUAGUAACCGCAGGUCAGCGAUACUGCGGUGAAUACGUUCCCGGGCCU
rnacentral:rRNA from 1 species